rnacentral:misc_RNA from 1 species
AAAACACUCAUCUCAAACAAACAAACAAAAACCCCAUUAAGUCAUGGCUUCAAUGCAGUGCUACAAAGAAGAAGGCAAAGAGUUCGAUUACUAUAGUUACGGAAAUCAAAAACCUUCUUAUUCGAGCUCUGGAUAUGAACAAUCUUACUAUGAGAAAGAAAAGUGUUACGAAACCAAACCUGGAAUGAUGGGCUACGGCUCUAGCCAUGGCCAUCAACAUGGUAGCAACCCAUGUGGGCCGAUGAUGGGCCAUAACUCGGGCUAUGGUACGGGCCAUAACGGUACUUCUCAUGGGAUGGGCUAUGGAAUGGGCUACGGUACGGGCCACAACAGUAAUUCUCAUGGAAUGGGCUGUGGUACGGGCCACAACAAUACUCAUGGGAUGGGCUACACGGGCCACAACAUGCACAAACCCAAGCCCGGUAUGGGCUUGGGCCUCGGAACGGGCACAGCUUUGGGCCAUGUUAUGGGCUUUGGAAAGAAACAUGACGGACAUAGUAGCUAUGCAAUGGGCUCUUCGGGCUGCACCACUUACAAGAAACAACACCGUAAGAGAAACGGUUACGGCAGUGGCAGCGAUUGCAGCGACAGCAGCGAUGACGAGCGUCAUUGCUAAAUUAAUUACUACAGGGUUUCAUGUGUAGCAGCCUGGCUUAUGGGAGAGAUUGAAUUACAUGUCCCAGUACUAUAAGGGAGUAUUUAUGAUAAUAAAAAAUAAGAAGCAAAUCAGCUAUGGCUACUAGCUAUAUAUUGACUAUGUGAAGUUAAUUAUGAAAUCUUAAGUUGUGUGUUUGUGUGUUGGUACUUUAAGUACCAAUUUAAUGUAACUGCUUAUUACCUUUGGCAAUAAAACUAUGUUGUUAUUUGUGUCGAUUA